rnacentral:rRNA from 1 species
UACGGAGGGUGCAAGCGUUAAUCGGAAUUACUGGGCGUAAAGCGUGCGCAGGCGGUUUGUUAAGUCCGCUGUGAAAUCCCCGAGCUCAACUUGGGAAUUGCAGUGGAUACUGGCAAGCUGGAGUAUGGUAGAGGAAGGUGGAAUUCCCGGUGUAGCAGUGAAAUGCGUAGAGAUCGGGAGGAAAACCAGUGGCGAAGGCGGCCUUCUGGACCAAUACUGACGCUCAUGCACGAAAGCGUGGGGAGCAAACAGG